UUAUUCUUUGUAGGAAAGUGUAAGUGUGAAUGCAAAGAAAAAGAAAGGUUGAAAAAGUGGGUGGUGAGAUUUUUCCUUAGCAUCACACGUAUUCCACCCAAGUUCACUCUCUUUAUCUGAUUUUGCUGCCCCAAAAGUCUUCUCUCUUGCCUUAUUUUCUUGGCUGCACCAGACAGAAAUUCCAGCCCCUCUUUCCCUACUCUUUUCCUUGUUCUUUGUUUCUUUCUUCUCCCCUUCUUACAUGGCAGCCCUCUCUCUCUCACCAAAGCAAAAUAUCUCUCUCUAAAGAAGAAAUUAAAGAGUUAAUACUAAAACUUCAGCUUCAAAUUGUUGGGGGUGUUACCAGUAUCCAAGUUUAAGCUCCUUCGACUUUAGGCUCUCGGUUCCUCUGCUUUCAGGUAAGGGAUAAGUUAUAUGGGCAUUUGUUAGCAGGUUUUAUUUUGGAGCAGAGGGAGCCUUAGUCGAGUUUGGAAGAAGCUGGUUUUAGUUUAAUAUGUAUAGAUCCUAAAUUAGCAAUUUGAUGUUUAGCUUUGUAGUAUUGUGUAUUUUAGGAUCUAAUGAAAGUGUGUACCUUAAAGUAUUAAGAGAUGUAUUAUGUGAAAUUCAGAAUUUGAGUAACUAGUGAGUUAUGUUAUUCUUUGGAGUACAAUGUAGAUGCUCUGAAUGUCAAGUGAAA